GUCACGGGAACGUUAGCAGAAUCAUAUUGCUGCCCCACUUCUGCCCAUCGCCCGCCCCGCUGCCCUGCGAAAAGAUAAUCCUGCGUUGACCCGGUCCUUUCGGUUCCGGAUUCCUCAGCCCCCAGCCCCCCGGGGCCGUCGGGAUCGGGUCUGUUCGCAGAGGGAGUCAAAUCCCAAACACUGGGCCAACGAAAGUUGGUCCUUUU
rnacentral:sRNA from 1 species